CAGCGACAACGAGAUUCCCACUGUCCCUAUCUACUAUCUAGCGAAACCACAGCCAAGGGAAUGGGCUUGGCGGAAUCAGCGGGGAAAGAAGACGCUGUUAAGCUUGACUCUGGUCCGACUUUGUGGAACGACAUUGGGGCUGUAGCAUAGGUGGGAGCUUCGGCGGUCGUGAAAUACCACUACCCUCAGUGUCGUUUUACUUAUUCCGUCAAGUUCAGAUGCAUGCAACGCAUGUGGCGUUGCCUUAAGGUGCCUUUCGGGGUGCUGAUCAAUGCGGAAGACACAGUCAGGUGGGGAGUUUGGCUGGGGCAGGGCGUAACAAGCGCCUCACCUUCUUCUGCAGCAAGCACGGUCAAAGGAUCCGAGGUUGUAAACGCAUGACGCAACACUGGACGAGCAGUGCGUCAAGCACCG
rnacentral:ncRNA from 1 species